rnacentral:rRNA from 1 species
UACGGAGGAUCCGAGCGUUAUCCGGAUUUAUUGGGUUUAAAGGGUGCGUAGGCGGCCAUUUAAGUCAGCGGUGAAAUUUUGCAGCUUAACUGUAACAGUGCCGUUGAUACUGGGGAGCUAGGAUUUGGUUGCUGUGGGUGGAAUGUGUGGUGUAGCGGUGAAAUGCAUAGAUAUCACGAGGAACUCCGAUUGCGCAGGCAGCUUACUAAACUACUACUGACGCUCAGGCACGAAGGCGUGGGGAUCAAACAGGAUUAGAUACCCG